rnacentral:rRNA from 1 species
UUUUGAGGCCAGCUUGCUGGGACUCCGAUUGGAGGAAGCUCCUUCGGUUUGGAUGUGAAUGGGGGAAAGGUUUUCGGGCUCGUAUGGGUUCGAAGUGGUGUGGGGUGGCAGUUGCAUGCAACAUGUGCCUUUUGCCAAUUCGGUCCUGUGCGAGCUCACAAUCCCACUCUCGGCGUAAAAGUUGGUCAUCUAUCCGACCCGUCUUGAAACACGGACCAAGGAGUUUAUCGUGUGCGCAAGUCAUUGGGUGUUGAAAACUCAAAGGCGCAAUGAAAGUAAAGAAUCCGCAAGGAUACGACGUGUGAUCUGAGCAAUCACGAUUGCCUGGAGCAACAUGGCCCCAUUCUGGUCGCUUGCGACGGGGUGGAGGAAGAGCGUCCACGGUGAGACCCGAAAGAUGGUGAACUAUUCCUGAGCAGGAGAAGCCAGAGGAAACUCCGGUCCUCCCUUGUAUAUUACCGCAGGGAAAA